GCGCUGAGCGCGGCUACGAACGAACGGUCCGGGCACGGGGAGAGCGCGUUGGGCACCGCUCCGCGUGGGGUGAUCGCAACUCUCGAGAGCUGAGGAUGGAUCGGGAGGGGGAGGGAGCGGGGGGAAGGGGAAUCCCUUUCUGGGCUGCCAACGGAGCGUGGGAGAGGGGCUCGGAACGGAGGUCGGCCCGGCUCUGCCGGGAGAGACCCAGAUGUGCCGCGGCCGCUGUACGCGUUCCCUCCGAGCGGAGCCGGCGGGCAGCGGCGGACUCGCGUGGGCGCGUCCGUGGACUUUGCCGUACCUCGACGGGAUGCGCGCCGGGGUGUGAGCCCGGUAAUGCCUCUAACGGGAGCGCUAAUUACAGGAGGACGGUUUGGCAAAUGAAGUGAGAGGAUGCACCCCCAGCCCCGAGCACCAGAUGAACUUUUCCAAACACACGCGCACACACGCGGUAAUUUUGGUAUGCUCCCUCGGCCAAUCGCCGCGCUCAGCCCGAGCAUGCCUUACCCUAGCGCAGUCAAUUACCGGCGCUCCCCGGGCUCAUCAAUCACGGGGCGCCUCCAGUGAGGGGAGGAGCGAGCCUCCGACUAUCGAUCGCUGCAGUUUUGUCCUCCCCAGCCCCCAGCCUCGUUCACGGUCCCCUGCACAUAAAAUCUAAACCAGACUAUCCCGUUAAUAGCGGGAUUUAUCAAUGAUUGUGUACCCGGUGGUGAAUGUGGCCUCGUACAUAGGUGGCUUUUAGAAAUACACGGCAGGAAAAAAAAAAAAAUAAGAAUGAUGUGAUUUGUUCGGGUAGGGGUUGGCGUGUUUUGCGUUGCUUUUCAGGAUGAGAGUGAUGAUUUUAACUUUUUUUGUUUUUUUUUUAACUUUAAGAAAAUGACUCAGGGGCAGUUGCAGAUAUUUGGCCUGAUUUUAAUAGGAGCGGGGAAUGAGCUCCAGAGGUCAAUAAAGCCCUCCAAAAUGAUGAAUGAUUGAGUACCUGUGAUGAUGAUAGUGAUUACCGGAGCAAUUAAACAGUUUGAUUAAAUGAGCCAUCAUAACAAUGAUGUCUGCGGGAAAUCAGCCCUCACAUAUAAAGAAAGAUAGCGUGGGGCUGACGGACGCCAGUGGGCAUCCCCCGAGCUCCGGCAGCACCCGGCCCGGCGGCUGCGGGCUGGAGAAGGGGAGAAGCGGCCCCGGUGUCGGCCCCGGUGUCGGCCGGAGCUGCCCUCGUUCGCGGCCCGGAGCCGGGCACGACCCCGCGGUGCUUUUCUGAGAGGAUCUCCUCCGAGAUUAGAGCUAAAUCCUAAGAGCAACCGAAUGGCUGCGCCUGGCUUUCCCGGGACUGGGAGGAGAGGGAGAUGUAUGCUUAAAGAGCCGCUGGAGCGAGCCCCGAGUUCCCGGGGGAGAAGGAAGGUUGGCCCGUGGAGAGGCAGCCGGCAGCAAAGCAGCCGGUACUUCUCCACGGCGUUUUCACGUCCGAAGAGUUUGCGGCGGGGUUUCCCGGCUCCCUGGGGAGGCUCCGAGGGAUGCAGCGGGCAGCGGAGAGCCGCGCCUCGGCGGGAGGCUUAGCGCAAGGGGACACGCUCAGGGAGCCGCGGUGACAUCCAGCAGCCCCUUGAGUUUCACAUGUUUUUCCAAUCGCUCAACCCCAAAUAUAUGGUGUCCCCCUCCCUCCCCCCUCCUCUUUCCUAGGAAUGCGCGUAAUAAAACCUAAUCGCCCGGGACUCUCCUCCUUUCUGCAUCUGCCGGACAAGAAACCGUGGGGGGACGAGGUCCUCCCGGCUCUGAAGCCGAGCUGCUAUGGGACGCCCGGCGGCCUCGGCCACGUCUGCACGUGGAAAACCUCGAAUGAGACUUUUGCGCUACAUUAACUGUCCCUCUGCCGUCCGGGGCUCCCUCUCCAGCAGCCGCCUUCUUCGUCUCCUGCAGCCAUCUCCGAAGCGGAGGUCGGGACGCUCACCCCAGGAGCGCAGCCCGGACCACGACAAAGUGGUCCAUGGUUCUUUGGUAUGUUGUUAUUCCCUGAAAGGUUGAGCAGGAUGAGUCACAGCAACACUGAGAGAAUGGAGGAUCCAGUUCUCACAGGACAGAAUGGUCCCACAGGAUCCAUGAAGGGGAAGAAGAGGGACAGUGUGCAGGCUAAGCAAUUUCUCAGACAUCAGCAGGUUUUUCACGUCAGAAUAAAAUAAUCUGGGUGUCUGCAGGUGCAGUGAAUUAGAUGGAAUAUUAUCCCUGCCUUGGAUUAAAGGGCAGAAACACUCUUAGUUCCAAACAACAAAUCCUAUAACUGAAAUGUAUGCCUAACCACCUCGCUGUGUUUACGUACUUCCACUCACCACAUUUUUCCCCAUCGAAGUUAGUUAAUAAAGUCAAAGAGUGAAACACAUCUGGGCUGUAUCACGACUGACUUUAAUGCUGAUAACUUAGGGAGGAAAUUGUGCUGUGGUGUGUGACUACAGAACGAACGUCCAAAGGUCCAACGUCCAAAGGUCCUACGUCCAAACAAAGACACUAAGACAUUGUAGAUGUGAGAUUGUAAACCUCACUGAUCAGAAGGGCUGCCAAUCAGCCCAUAGGUCUCACCUAGAGAGGAAACAAAAGUUCGGAGAAAAUCACCUCAAGGCAGUGAAUCUCUGCAGACAAUGUUUUCAAAACUGACAGCCUCCAGUAUCCUCAGGCCCAAGUUCCAUUGCCUGAAAACCACCUGAAUGGAGGAUGCAGGGCUCUGCAGGCUGAGUUUGAAAGAUGCCAACUGUCCCUGUGCACUCAGCCUUCCUGCUCCUCCUGAUGGAACAUGUGGAUAAGCACCAGCCUUGAAGUAAGCCCUCAGCACAGGAAGCAUCAAUUCUUUAAUUCAUACUUCAGGGAUUUGCAGCCAGGGUUUUCAUUUGACACAUCUAGAUAUUUCUCAUGUUAUAGUGGUACAUUCUUCCUCAAAGUGUUUUUCAAAAUCAGCAGGCUUUUCAGGGAUGAAACAUGAUUGUGCACUAAUAUAUUCCAUUUUUAAAGUAUGUGCUAAUUAUCAAAUCAGUCUUAUACUACUUCAUAUACAUUUAUAGACAAUCACUAAUAGUGUCAUUGAUCUGCAAAUAAAUAGAUUUAGCAGAAGCUUUCCUUUGAUGUAGAUAAAUGUAAACAACAAUGAAAAAAAAUAGCGUACAAGUGGUUGUCCUGUUCUCUUACCUUAAGGCUAUAUUACGAUCACAAUCAGACAUAUCUAGGCAUGUGUCACACCGGAUAAUGCUAUUUCUUGGGCGUUUGAGGGCAGAUGACUUUACCUUGGACUUCACAAAAGCUGAGACAUGCCAUUUAAAAGCAUGAAUCUGGCAUUACUGAAAACCCUCGCGUAUCAUACUCACGUAUAUCAUUGUUAACCUACAUAUGAGAUGUUUUUAAAAAUCGCUUCACAUUUAAUACUGAAGUCAUUUUACUUCUAUUAUUCAUGUGAAGAGCUAAAAAUAAACAUCCAAAAUAUUUUUCUCUUUUAUGGAACAGCUGAUAAAAGCCUUCAUUUGAAGUGAACUCUUGGAUGAAUGCAGCCUUAUUUUCUGGGCUCAGAUCUCUUGUACCCAGUUGGGAACCCCACAUCAGAUCUGGGAAGUACGUUGAAUCUUCAGAGGAAAGGGGCUCUAUACCUCAUAAUAUUCAUUAGGAAUAUCUUAGGCAAACAGUUUCCAGCCUAAAACUCACCCAUGAUGUGCUCAUUUGGGCUUUUUAUUUUGUUAUUCUCGAUGUGUCACUGGUCACCUAUUACACUUGGUCUACUUCCCAAUAGGUUGAAUGGAAUUAUUUUAACAAGAGACAACAAAUAAUAAAAGUGCAUAACCCA
ensembl:lncRNA